rnacentral:rRNA from 16 species
UGGCGGUAUGCCUAACACAUGCAAGUCGAACGAGGUAGCAAUACCUAGUGGCGGACGGGUGAGGAAUACGUAGGGAUCUGCCUUUAAGUGGGGGAUAACCCGGGGAAACCCGGAUUAAUACCGCAUGAUCUCGCAAGAGCAAAGUGGGGGAUCGCAAGACCUCAUGCUCGUGGAGCGGCCGAUAUCUGAUUAGCUAGUUGGUGAGGUAAAGGCU